UGGGGAUUGGGCUAUUGACUGGAAAGGGACAUGAGAAAAACUUCAGGGUAGAUUCCUGGUUGCCUGGGAACCACCAGAGCCUGGGAAGAACCUGAAGAGCUGGAUGGAUUCAGUCCAAGGAGAGAAAGGGGUGACCAAAAUGAGGAAGAUUCCAGGCUAUAACACACAUGAAACUAUCAUACCAAAGGUUUUUCAUUUAGACAAUUCCAGAAAUCACUGAGAAAUUGAG